UGUUGUUGCAAUAGUUAUUCUGCUCAGUACGAGAGGAACCGCAGAUUCAGACAAUUGGCAUUUGCACUUGGCUGAAAAGCCAAUGGUGCGAAGCUACCAUCUGUUGGAUUAUGACUGAACGCCUCUAAGUCAGAAUCCUUGCUAGAACGCAACGAUAAUUACUUCCGGAAAAUCUUAGGCGAACAAGGAUAGAGAACAGGCUUGCCCGCUCUCCUGCGUCCCAAUGUGCCAAGAGGGACGACAACCCUCAAGGCACUAAAGUAUAUCAAAGUUUAAAAUUUCUGGAGAUAAAUCCUUUGCAGACGACUUAAAUAAAGAACGGGGUAUUGUACGUUGUAGAGUAGCCUUGUUGCUACGAUCUUCUGAGAUUAAGCCUUUGUUCUACGAUUU
rnacentral:rRNA from 1 species